GAUGAACGCUGGCGGCAUGCCUAAUACAUGCAAGUCGAACGGGAUAUCUUCGGAUAUCCAGUGGCGAACGGGUGAGUAACACGUAGGUAACCUGCCCAUGUGCCCGGGAUAACGCCUGGAAACGGGUGGCUAAAAACCGGAUAGGUAUCGCUUCUGCAUGGAAGAGAUAUUAAAGGAGCUGCAAGGCUCUGAACAUGGAUGGACCUGCGGUGCAUUAGCUGGUUGGUGAGGUAACGGCCCACCAAGGCGACGAUGCAUAGCCGGCCUGAGAGGGUGAACGGCCACAUUGGGACUGAGACACGGCCCAAACUCCUACGGGAGGCAGCAGUAGGGAAUUUUCGGCAAUGGGCGAAAGCCUGACCGAGCAACGCCGCGUGAGUGAUGAAC
rnacentral:rRNA from 1 species